rnacentral:tRNA from 1 species
GUCCUUGUCGAUUAGGGGUUAAAUCAUCUCGUUGUGGAUCGUUUAAUCAUAACCGAGAAGCCGGAAGUUCGAAUCCUCCCUGGGACA